UACGAAGGGGGCUAGCGUUGUCCGGAUUCAUUGGGCGUAAAGCGCUUUAAGGCGGUUCGGUAAGUCGGGUGUGAAACCUCCAGGCUCAACCUGGGGACGCCACUCGAUACUGCUGUGACUAGAGUUCGGUAGGGGAUCACGGAAUUCCUGGUGUAGCGGUGAAAUGCGCAGAUAUCAGGAGGAACACCGGUGGCGAAGGCGGUGAUCUGGGCCGACACUGACGCUGUAGAGCGAAAGCGUGGGGAGCGAACAGG
rnacentral:rRNA from 1 species